rnacentral:rRNA from 1 species
CCUACGGGGGGCUGCAGUGGGGAAUAUUGGACAAUGGGCGCAAGCCUGAUCCAGCAAUGCCGCGUGUGUGAAGAAGGCCUGCGGGUUGUAAAGCACUUUGGGCGGGGAGGAAGGCCCCCGGGGCAACACCCCGGGGGAUUGACGUUACCCGCAGAACAAGCACCGGCUAACUCCGUGCCAGCAGCCGCGGUAAUACGGAGGGUGCGAGCGUUAAUCGGAAUUACUGGGCGUAAAGCGCGCGUAGGGGGGUGAAAGCCCCGGGCUCAACCUGGGAACUGCGUUGGAUACUGCCGGGCUGGAGUGUGGGAGAGGGGUGUGGAAUUUCCGGUGUAGCAGUGAAAUGCGUAGAGAUCGGAAGGAACACCAGUGGCGAAGGCGGCACCCUGGACCAACACUGACGCUGAGGUGCGAAAGCGUGGGGAGCAAACAGGAUUAGAUACCCCAGUAGUC